CHGCAUAUCAAUAAGCGGAGGAAAAGAAACCAACAGGGAUUGCCCUAGUAACGGCGAGUGAAGCGGCAACAGCUCAAAUUUGAAAGCUAGCCUUCGGGUUCGCAUUGUAAUUUGUAGAGGAUGCUUUGGGUAAAACGCCAGUCUAAGUUCCUUGGAACAGGACGUCAUAGAGGGUGAGAAUCCCGUAUGUGACUGGAAAUGUUAACCUAUGUAAAGCUCCUUCGACGAGUCGAGUUGUUUGGGAAUGCAGCUCUAAAUGGGAGGUAAAUUUCUUCUAAAGCUAAAUAUUGGCGAGAGACCGAUAGCGCACAAGUAGAGUGAUCGAAAGAUGAAAAGCACUUUGGAAAGAGAGUUAAAAAGCACGUGAAAUUGUUGAAAGGGAAGCGCUUGCAAUCAGACUUGUUUAAACUGUUCGGCCGGUCUUCUGACCGGUUUACUCAGUUUGGACAGGCCAGCAUCAGUUUCGGCGGCCGGAUAAAGGCUCUGGG
rnacentral:rRNA from 1 species